rnacentral:snoRNA from 1 species
GCUCAGGUUUGUAUCCCAGCUCUACUACUUCCUACCUGUGUGACCUUGAGUAAGUUACUUGACUUCUUUAAGCCUCAGUUUCCCCAUAGAAUAAUAGUAGUACCUAUCUCAUAAGCUUGUUAAAAGGAUUAAAU